AGCACUGCCCCCGGUGAGUGAGGGUGACCAGUCCUCCUUCCACCUGCUGCCUGUCCCUUCUCUGAUCCUGUCCUGCCCUUAGGAGCU
rnacentral:pre_miRNA from 1 species